rnacentral:rRNA from 1 species
AAUAUUAAUUUAUUUUUAUUUAUAUAUAUAUAAUUAUUUAAUAAAAUUUUAUAAGAAUAUUUUUUUUUAGUAAAAAUUUUAAAUUAAUGUUAUUAUUGAUAGUUUAUAGUAAUGAAAAUGAAUUUUUAAAAAAUAUAUAAGUAAAAUUUUAUUUGUACCUUUUGUAUCAGGGUUAAUUAAUUUAAUUUAAUAAUUUAAGUAUCUCGAAAAUAAAUGAUCUAAAUAUAUAUUUAUGUAUUAAUUUUUUUGUUAAAUAAAAAAAUUUAAUAUAUAUUUAGAAAUUAUAUGUUUGUCGUAUUUAUUAAUAUCUAGUUUUUUUUGAAAUAAAUUUAAUUUAUAUUUAAUAAUAAUUAAUUAAAUAAUAUUAUUUAAUUAUUUUUUUUAAAUAAAAAGUUUAUGGGAUAAACUGUAAAUUUAGAUAUAUAAUAAUUAUAUUAUGAAUAAUAAAAUUAUGAUUUUAGAAUUAAUUAAUAAUAGAAAAAAUUUUAUAAUUUAUUUUAUAUAUAUAAAAAAAUUAUUUAUGGGUUAAAUAAAAAUUAUAUAUAAUUUUUAAAAAAAAAAAAAUUUAAAUUUAUUAAAUUUAAUAAUAAUGAUUAAAUUAGUAAUUAUAAUGUAUGUAUAAAAUAUAAAUAUUUAAAUUAUAUAUAUAUAAGGAAUUAGGCAAAAUAGUUAUAUUCACCUGUUUAACAAAAACAUGUCUUAUUGAUAAUAAUUUUAAGUCAAUCUCUGCCCAAUGAUUUAAUUAAAUGGCUGCAGUAUAAUUGACUGUACAAAGGUAGCAUAAUCAGUUGAUUUUUAAAUGGAAUCUGGAAUGAAAGGAUUAAUGAAAUAUAUACUGUCUCAUAUAUAUAAUAUGAAUUUAAAAUUUUAAUAAAAAUGUUAAAAUUUUUUUUUGGGACGAUAAGACCCUAUAGAAUUUUAUAUAAAGUUUAUUUUAUAUUAAUAUAAAAUUUGUUUUAUAUUUAAUUGGGAGAAUUAUUAAAUUAAAAAAAUUUUAAUUUUAAAAAACUUAGAUUAAAGAAGAUUUAUUGAUUUAAAAUUUUUAAUUAUUAGAAUAAAUUACCUUAGGGAUAACAGCGUAAUAUUUUUUUAUAGAUCUUAUAGAAAAAAAUGAUUGCGACCUCGAUGUUGAAUUAAGAUAAAUUUUAAAUGUAGAAGUUUAAUAAUUAAGUCUGUUCGACUUUUAAAAUCUUACAUGAUUUGAGUUCAAAUCGACGUGAGUCAGAUUGGUUUCUAUCUAAAAAAUAUUUUAAAUUAUUUGUACGAAAGGAAUAUAAUUUAUAAAUUAUUUAUAAAAAUUUAAUUAAUAUAUUUAUUUUUUUAUUAUUUUAACAUAUUAGUGUUUUAAAUUUAGAAUUU